UGCGACGUCACACUGCCGAGAAAAGCUUCUAGCCAGAGACGGUGCACCCGUACCGCAAACCGACACAGGUAGUCGAGGAGAGUAUCCUCAGGUGAGCGAGAGAACUCUCGUUAAGGAACUCGGCAAAAUGGCCCCGUAACUUCGGGAGAAGGGGCGCUGGUCGCAAGAUCAGCCGCAGUGAAAAGGCCCAAGCAACUGUUUAUCAAAAACACAGGCAUCUGCAAAAUCGUAAGAUGAAGUAUAGGUGCUGACACCUGCCCGGUGCUGGAAGGUUAAGAGGAGAGCUUAGCGCAAGCGAAGGUUUGAAUUGAAGCCCCAGUAAACGGCGGCCGUAACUAUAACGGUCCUAAGGUAGCGAAAUUCCUUGUCGGGUAAGUUCCGACCUGCACGAAAGGUGUAAUGAUUUGGGCACUGUCUCAACGAGAGACUCGGUGAAAUUAUAAUACCCGUGAAGAUGCGGGUUACCCGCGACAGGACGGAAAGACCCCAUGGAGCUUUACUGCAGUUUAAUAUUGGGUAUCUGUCAAGCAUGUACAGGAUAGGUAGGAGCCGGAGAAGAUAGGACGCCAGUCUUAUCAGAGGCGCUGUUGGGAUACUACCCUUGCUUGACGGAUGCUCUAACU
rnacentral:rRNA from 1 species